rnacentral:rRNA from 1 species
ACACUAUGUGUUGUUGGGUAGGGGAGCGUUCUGUAAGCCGUUGAAGGUGUGCUGUGAGGCAUGCUGGAGGUAUCAGAAGUGCGAAUGCUGACAUAAGUAACGAUAAAGCGGGUGAAAAGCCCGCUCGCCGGAAGACCAAGGGUUCCUGUUCAACGUUAAUCGGAGCAGGGUGAGUCGACCCCUAAGGCGAGGCUGAAAAGCGUAGUCGAUGGGAAGCAGGUUAAUAUUCCUGCACUUGGUGUUACUGCGAAGGGGGGACGGAGAAGGCUAGGUUAUCCGGGCGACGGUUGUCCCGGUUUAAGCGUGUAGGCUGAUACCUUUGGUAAAUCCGGGGUAUCUUAAGGCUGAGGCGUGACGACGAGCCACCACGGUGGUGAAGUAACUGAUGCCCUGCUUCCAGGAAAAGCCUCUAAGCUCCAGGUAACACGAAAUCGUACCCCAAACCGACACAGGUGGUCAGGUAGAGAAUACCAAGGCGCUUGAGAGAACUCGGGUGAAGGAACUAGGCAAAAUGGUGCCGUAACUUCGGGAGAAGGCACGCUG